UACGUAGGGUGCAAGCGUUAAUCGGAAUUACUGGGCGUAAAGCGUGCGCAGGCGGUUGUGCAAGACAGAUGUGAAAUCCCCCGGGCUCAACCUGGGAAUUGCAUUUGUGACUGCACGGCUAGAGUGUGUCAGAGGGGGGGUAGAAUUCCACGUGUAGCAGUGAAAUGCGUAGAGAUGUGGAGGAAUACCGAUGGCGAAGGCAGCCCCCUGGGAUAACACUGACGCUCAUGCACGAAAGCGUGGGGAGCAAACAGG
rnacentral:rRNA from 1 species